AUUGAACGCUGGCGGCAGGCCUAACACAUGCAAGUCGAACGAGUGGCGGACGGGUGAGUAAUGUCUGGGCAACUGCCUGAUGGAGGGGGAUAACUACUGGAAACGGUAGCUAAUACCGCAUACCAUCGGAUGUGCCCAUAUGGGAUUAGCUAGUAGGUGGGGUAAAGGGUCACCUAAGCGACGAGCCCUCGCUGGUCUGAGAGGAUGACCAGCAAUACUGGAACUGAGACACGGUCCAGACUCUUAGGUGAGGCAGCAGUGGGGAAUAUUGGACAAGGGGCGCAAGUCUGAUGAAGCCAUGCCGGGUGUAUGAAGAAGGCCUUCGGGUUGUAAAGUACUUUCAGCGGGGAGGCGUUACCCGCAGCAGAAGCACCGGCGAACUCCGUGCCAGCAGCCGCGGUAAUAC
rnacentral:rRNA from 1 species